rnacentral:rRNA from 1 species
CUAGAGGAAGUAAAAGUCGUAACAAGGUCUCCGUUGGUGAACCAGCGGAGGGAUCAUUACUGAGUUACCGCUCAUCAACCCUUUGUGAACAUACCUUAACUGUUGCUUCGGCGGGUAGGCGUCCCCUAAAAAGGACGUCUCCCGGCCCUCUCCCGUCCGCGGGUGGGGCGCCCGCCGGAGGAUAACCAAACUCUGAUUUAACGACGUUUCUUCUGAGUGACACAAGCAAAUAAUCAAAACUUUUAACAACGGAUCUCUUGGUUCUGGCAUCGAUGAAGAACGCAGCGAAAUGCGAUAAGUAAUGUGAAUUGCAGAAUUCAGUGAAUCAUCGAAUCUUUGAACGCACAUUGCGCCCGCCAGCAUUCUGGCGGGCAUGCCUGUUCGAGCGUCAUUUCAACCCUCAAGCUCUGCUUGGUGUUGGGGCUCUACGGUUGACGUAGGCCCUUAAAGGUAGUGGCGGACCCUCUCGGAGCCUCCUUUGCGUAGUAACAUUUCGUCUCGCAUUGGGAUUCGGAGGGACUCUAGCCGUAAAACCCCCAAUUUUACUAAGGUUGACCUCGGAUCAGGUAGGAAUACCCGCUGAACUUAAGCAUAUC